rnacentral:rRNA from 1 species
UACGAAGGGGGCUAGCGUUGCUCGGAAUUACUGGGCGUAAAGCGUGCGCAGGCGGCUUUGCAAGACAGAUGUGAAACCCCCGGGCUUAACCUGGGAACUGCAUUUGUGACUGCAUGGCUGGAGUGCGGCAGAGGAGACUGGAAUUCCUGGUGUAGCAGUGAAAUGCGUAGAUAUCAGGAGGAACACCGAUGGCGAAGGCAGGUCUCUGGGCUGACACUGACGCUCAUGCACGAAAGCGUGGGGAGCAAACAGG